rnacentral:rRNA from 1 species
UGCNCUUNCGGAGUGACUCGAGUGGCGAACGGGUGAGUAACACGUGGGUGAUCUGCCCUGCACUUUGGGAUAAGCCUGGGAAACUGGGUCUAAUACCGAAUACACCCUGCUGGUCGCAUGGCCUGGUGGGGGAAAGCUUUUGCGGUGUGGGAUGGGCCCGCGGCCUAUCAGCUUGUUGGUGGGGUGAUGGCCUACCAAGGCGACGACGGGUAGCCGGCCUGAGAGGGUGUCCGGCCACACUGGGACUGAGAUACGGCCCAGACUCCUACGGGAGGCAGCAGUGGGGAAUAUUGCACAAUGGGCGCAAGCCUGAUGCAGCGACGCCGCGUGAGGGAUGACGGCCUUCGGGUUGUAAACCUCUUUCAAUAGGGACGAAGCGCAAGUGACGGUACCUAUAGAAGAAGGACCGGCCAACUACGUGCCAGCAGCCGCGGUAAUACGUAGGGUCCGAGCGUUGUCCGGAAUUACUGGGCGUAAAGAGCUCGUAGG